GUCUAUGUGUCUGUGUGUACAUGUGUCCAUGUGUCCACAUGCAAUGGGUGUGCUCUCUCAGAAAAGGAAAGAGUGGGGUAAAAAUUCCAGCCAAGGUCUGGAGAAAAGACUGUAAUAUAUUUCAAUCUGAAUUUUCUCUCUCAGGCAACAACCUAUAACAGAAAAUAAAACCAGAAUUUUUUGCCCUCAUAAAGAAUAUUUGGGUUACCAGCUCUAGCCAUCCAUAGUGCAUACAAAAUUAGAUAUAUCAAGCUACGGAAAAAAAACUGUGGAAAAAUCUUUUCUUCCUGCAAAUGUUUCAUCCUCACUUACGUCAUUGUGGCUUGAAUUCUAAAGAACCCUGAUGAGAAAGAAGGAAAACCAAAGAAAAGCCACUCUUUACCCAACAGUACUGUAUCAACCUGCUGUGAGGGUAUAGAUAAUACACUGGAAACAUUAUUGUGGAAUUUUAAAUGAUUGCUGUGGAGAGAUUGGGCAGAACAUUGAUUUUAAAGCAAAGAAGUCUUUGAGCUUUAUCAUCUUCCUUCCUGUGUGGAAUCUGCCUUGUCUCCUCUCCCUUAGCCAAAUUGUGCAAGGGUUGUGUAAAUAAAUGUGCUUCUUCAGAAAUCCAUUCCGUGGGAGCCUGUUGGCUUCUCUGUGACUGUAUCACUGAAACAAUUUCUGAGUUGAAAUGUAAGUGCUUAUAAAAUGUAAUGCCUAUACUUGGU